rnacentral:rRNA from 1 species
GUCGAGCGGUAACAUUUCUAGCUUGCUAGAAGAUGACGAGCGGCGGACGGGUGAGUAAUACUUGGGGAUCUGCCUGAUGGCGGGGGACAACCACUGGAAACGGUGGCUAAUACCGCAUAAUGCCUACGGGCCAAAGUGUGGGACCUUCGGGCCACAUGCCAUCAGAUGAACCCAAGCGAGAUUAGCUAGUUGGUGAGGUAAUGGCUCACCAAGGCGACGAUCUCUAGCUGUUCUGAGAGGAUGAUCAGCCACACUGGGACUGAGACACGGCCCAGACUCCUACGGGAGGCAGCAGUGGGGAAUAUUGGACAAUGGGCGCAAGCCUGAUCCAGCCAUGCCGCGUGUGUGAAGAAGGCCUUCGGGUUGUAAAGCACUUUCAGUGGUGAGGAAGGCGUUGUAGUUAAUAGCUGCAACGAUUGACGUUAGCCACAGAAGAAGCACCGGCUAACUCCGUGCCAGCAGCCGCGGUAAUACGGAGGGUGCGAGCGUUAAUCGGAAUUACUGGGCGUAAAGCGCACGUAGGCGGCUUGUUAAGCAAGAUGUGAAAGCCCAGGGCUCAACCUUGGAAUUGCAUUUUGAACUGGCAAGCUAGAGUUUUGAAGAGGGUGGUAGAAUUUCCAGUGUAGCGGUGAAAUGCGUAGAUAUUGGAAGGAAUACCAGUGGCGAAGGCGGCCACCUGGUCAAAAACUGACGCUGAGGAGCGAAAGCGUGGGGAGCAAACAGGAUUAGAUACCCUGGUAGUCCACGCCGUAAACGAUGUCAACUAGUUGUUCGUGUCUUUGAGACGUGAGUAACGCAGCUAACGCACUAAGUUGACCGCCUGGGGAGUACGGCCGCAAGGUUAAAACUCAAAUGAAUUGACGGGGGCCCGCACAAGCGGUGGAGCAUGUGGUUUAAUUCGAUGCAACGCGAAGAACCUUACCAUCCCUUGACAUCCAGAGAAUUUUCUAGAGAUAGAUUAGUGCCUUCGGGAACUCUGAGACAGGUGCUGCAUGGCUGUCGUCAGCUCGUGUUGUGAGAUGUUGGGUUAAGUCCCGCAACGAGCGCAACCCUUAUCCUUAGUUGCCAGCACGUAAUGGUGGGAACUCUAGGGAGACUGCCGGUGAUAAACCGGAGGAAGGUGGGGACGACGUCAAGUCAUCAUGGCCCUUACGGGAUGGGCUACACACGUGCUACAAUGGCGCACACAAAGGGCAGCAAGCUAGCGAUAGCAAGCGAAUCUCAAAAAGUGCGUCGUAGUCCGGAUCGGAGUCUGCAACUCGACUCCGUGAAGUCGGAAUCGCUAGUAAUCGUGGAUCAGAAUGCCACGGUGAAUACGUUCCCGGGCCUUGUACACACCGCCCGUCACACCAUGGGAGUGGGCUGCACCAGAAGUAGAUAGCUUAACCCUCGGGAGAGCGUUUACCACGGUGUGGUU